GACGAACGCUGGCGGCAGGCCUAACACAUGCAAGUCGAACGCCCCUUCGGGGGAGUGGCAGGCGGGUGAGUAACGCGUGGGAACCUUCCCUGUGGUACGGAAUAACUCAGAGAAAUUUGAGCUAAUACCGUAUACGCCCUUCGGGGGAAAGAUUUAUCGCCAUAGGAUGGGCCCGCGUCGGAUUAGCUUGUUGGUGAGGUAAUGGCUCACCAAGGCGACGAUCCGUAGCUGGUCUUAGUGGAUGAUCAGCCACACUGGGACUGAGACACGGCCCAGACUCCUACGGGAGGCAGCAGUGGGGAAUAUUGGACAAUGGGCGAAAGCCUGAUCCAGCCAUGCCGCGUGGAUGAAGAAGGCCCUAGGGUUGUAAAGUCCUUUCGGUGGUGAAGAUAAUGACGGUAACCACAAAAGAAGCCCCGGCUAAUUUCGUG
rnacentral:rRNA from 1 species